ACCCCGUUGAGCCUCUGGGCAGGGGUGCAGGCUUCAAACCUGUAGCUGACUAAUGUCAAGAGUGGUUCGACUCCACCUACUGGGCG